ensembl:lncRNA
GUUUUCUUUGCAAGUCAGAGCAAGAAAUGCUGACAUUUUAAUAAAAUGGAGCUAAAAAUAGUUUAGCAUGUAAAGAAACAAUUCCUUUGGAUUUUGAUACAUUUACAACAGAUUUGGGGCUUUGUUCUUGGCAGGAUGCAUUUUACAGUCCAGUCACCACUGUCAACCCUUUUCCUCAUGCUGGAAACUUCUAGGUCCUUGUUAAGAACAGUGCAUUGGACACUAAUUUAUUUUAGCAGUGCAAACUCUGGUAGUUCAUGACCCCUUUCCUUCAAAAUUCCCAAGGCUUAUUUUCAAUAGAUAAAGGAGAAAAGAGGGAGAGAAGAAUACUAAACUACAAAAAUUUCAGAGGAAUCCACUCAGCUUUAAGCUAAAGAGAAGUGGAGAUGCUGCCAAAGCCAGCAGGCUCUGCGUGUCGUAGCGCGUGGAUUUCGUCUCUUACCUGGGCCUUCUUUAUAGCUCAUCCCCCACCCCUGUGGGCCUCGGCUCAGCAGCCCGCAAGCUCCUGCCAUCCCACGCAUGCUCCCGCUUCCUCGGUUGGGUAACCCAUAGCAACCGUCCUGGUAACCCAUAGCAACUGCUCUGCGGAACCAGGUGGGGGAUGGGAGGAAGCCAUUUGGAGUGGGCGGGCGGAGAGCGAUUUACCAUGGCCCACCUGCCUCGGGCACCGCCAGCGUCCCGCACCCAGACAGUGAGGACCAAACAAAGCCGCCGCACACGUGCCGGGCGCGGGUGGGGGAGGCACGUGUGCCUUUGUUCUUCAGGCACCGCCCACCGAGAGUGUGCACAGGGCUCCACCAGCUCCAGCCUUAGCUGACCCCACGCUGCGAUGUGCGCUUAUCCCAGGAGCUUGGAACCUUCCAGACUGGAGCCCAAUACGCUAACGUCCCUCUCUUGUCUGACCCGGUUGUACCCAGGAGCCGGCCUUUUGCUCCUGGGGAAGAAUCGCGUGCGUCUGGAUUCUGGGCUGCGCGUGGGGAGAUGCAGGCCCCCAAGCUGCUGAGCCAGGUCACUUGAGGAUGACCAGUGGUGCGAGGCCACGGGUGGACGGACGGGGUCGCUGUCGGGCAGCGCGACGCGCUGAUACCCUGCAGUCAAUGCUUAGAGCUUCGUCUGCUGGCUUGUGCUCACCAGACUCCAAGCCUGUGGCAGUGUUCCGUGCUGCCUUUACUGUACUCUCCUGGAGACUGAAACCUCCCAAGAAGACUUGUUGGAUCUUCCUGCUGCCUGGCUCUCAGCAGCCCUUGGGAAGGUGAGCAUCUUACCGAGUCUGCUGGCCAGGAGUCUUUGAUGGAUCUCUGUAACCACCACAGCCUCACCUCAAUGGGAGACCAGAUUCGCACACUUAACAUGGUGCCAAGAAGAGUGGGCUACACACCCAGGACCCAGGACAGCAAAGGGUGACCAUAGAGUGAGAAGAAUG